CACUGUUCCACUUUUAUUUUACUCCAUGAAGGAAAGACUACAAAAUGGGGAAGGUUUGAUACAGGGCACCAUAAUCCCUUCACCAUACCAGCACAUCCACAGGAGCCCUGCCCAGUUGCUAUGCCAACCCUGAUGAUCCCAGACAGAAGACAAUCAAGAUCACAAAGAACUUGCAUAUGGGAGUGGAUUCUGCAUGGACUGGAACAAAGGACAAUGAUCAGAUCUUCCCUCAGGGGGCAGGAAACUGCGACUUCAGAAAAUGACUCAUGGGGAGGGGUAGAAGGGAACCAGCCAGGUGACAGGACACCCAGGUUACCACCACAACUCCUCCCUCAACCCCUCCUUUCUGUAAUGUAUGCAUGAUGUUUCUGGGGGUGGGCUUGACCUAGAGGAUGGGAAUUUCAAAAGUUUUUAUAAGGUCUUGCACACCAUUUUCUGUGUCUUUUCCUCUCUCCUGCAAGUGAGGGGAACACCCUGUUGCAACAGUUCAAUAAAGGCCAAGCCUACAGGCUGCUGAUUCGCUCCAAUUUACUCUGGUUGGUGUCUUUACUUUUUGUCCAAGGGAGCCCUCGGAUUUUUCCGGUAACAAUACAGUAAGAUUUGAGCUUACAGAGUUCCUUUGAACUGUGCGUCAUAGCAUUAUAUUUCCCGGCAUUACAAAAGUACUUUCACAAUACCCAUCCCACACAUUAAAUCAUACAGAUUGCAACUUCAUAUAUAUGUUUUGAUCCAGCUCAUAAGUGGUGUCACUUUAUAAAGCCAUGCAUACCAGUUCUGUGAACCGCCCUGAUCUUUUCUGUGAACACCCUGAGACCUCUGGGUAUAGGGCAGUAUAUAAACCCAAUUAGUAAUAAUAAUAAUAAUAAUAAUAAUAAUAAUGUGGGAUAUGCAUUCAAGCUGCCCCUUCACAUGCUAUAGUUUCCUGCAGUUUGGCCCCAGGCCUUGGAAUAUUCAAGUGCUUGUGUCUCCUGCUGGAAGCCCCCUGCUGUUUGGAUUGGGGUUUUCAAAGCACCAUUCCCCACCCCCCAUCC